GGAGAGGUGGCAGAGUGGUCGAUUGCAUCGGUCUUGAAAACCGAAGUGCCCACCCGGGCACCGGGGGUUCGAAUCCCCCCCUCUCCG
rnacentral:tRNA from 1 species